UACGUAGGGUGCGAGCGUUGUCCGGAAUUAUUGGGCGUAAAGAGCUUGUAGGCGGUUUGUCGCGUCUGCUGUGAAAAUCCCGAGGCUCAACCUCGGGCUUGCAGUGGGUACGGGCAGGCUAGAGUGCGGGUAGGGGAGAAUGGAACUCCUGGUGUAGCGGUGGAAUGCGCAGAUAUCAGGAAGAACACCGAUGGCGAAGGCAGUUCUCUGGGCAUUACCUGACGCUGAGGAGCGAAAGUGUGGGGAGCGAACAGG
rnacentral:rRNA from 1 species